CCCUUAGAUGUUCUGGGCUGCACGCGUGCUACAAUGGCGUUUCCAGCAAGUCUGCGAACCCGAGAGGGCCUGCGGAUCUUCGAAUUGGCGUCGUGAUCGGGACAGUCGAUUGCAAUUAUUUGACUCAAACGAGGAAUUCCUUGUAAUCGCGAUUCAUCAUAUCGCGCUGAAUACGUCCCUGCCCUUUGUACACACCGCCCGUCGCUCCUACCGAUUGAGCGAUCCGGUAAAUGUUUUGGAUUGGUGCCGGGGCGGCUAGCUGCCGGUCGCUACGAAAUUUUGUGAACCUUAUCGCUUAGAGGAAGGAAAAGUCGUAACA
rnacentral:rRNA from 1 species